AUUGAACGCUGGCGGCAUGCCUUACACAUGCAAGUCGAACGGCAGCACGGAGCUUGCUCUGGUGGCGAGUGGCGAACGGGUGAGUAAUAUAUCGGAACGUACCCUAGAGUGGGGGAUAACGUAGCGAAAGUUACGCUAAUACCGCAUACGAUCUAAGGAUGAAAGUGGGGGAUCGCAAGACCUCAUGCUCGUGGAGCGGCCGAUAUCUGAUUAGCUAGUUGGUAGGGUAAAAGCCUACCAAGGCAUCGAUCAGUAGCUGGUCUGAGAGGACGACCAGCCACACUGGAACUGAGACACGGUCCAGACUCCUACGGGAGGCAGCAGUGGGGAAUUUUGGACAAUGGGCGAAAGCCUGAUCCAGCAAUGCCGCGUGAGUGAAGAAGGCCUUCGGGUUGUAAAGCUCUUUUGUCAGGGAAGAAACGGUGAAAGCUAAUAUCUUUUGCUAAUGACGGUACCUGAAGAAUAAGCACCGGCUAACUACGUGCCAGCAGCCGCGGUAAUACGUAGGGUGCAAGCGUUAAUCGGAAUUACUGGGCGUAAAGCGUGCGCAGGCGGUUUUGUAAGUCUGAUGUGAAAUCCCCGGGCUCAACCUGGGAAUUGCAUUGGAGACUGCAAGGCUAGAAUCUGGCAGAGGGGGGUAGAAUUCCACGUGUAGCAGUGAAAUGCGUAGAUAUGUGGAGGAACACCGAUGGCGAAGGCAGCCCCCUGGGUCAAGAUUGACGCUCAUGCACGAAAGCGUGGGGAGCAAACAGGAUUAGAUACCCUGGUAGUCCACGCCCUAAACGAUGUCUACUAGUUGUCGGGUCUUAAUUGACUUGGUAACGCAGCUAACGCGUGAAGUAGACCGCCUGGGGAGUACGGUCGCAAGAUUAAAACUCAAAGGAAUUGACGGGGACCCGCACAAGCGGUGGAUGAUGUGGAUUAAUUCGAUGCAACGCGGAAAACCUUACCUACCCUUGACAUGGCUGGAAUCCUUGAGAGAUCAGGGAGUGCUCGAAAGAGAACCAGUACACAGGUGCUGCAUGGCUGUCGUCAGCUCGUGUCGUGAGAUGUUGGGUUAAGUCCCGCAACGAGCGCAACCCUUGUCAUUAGUUGCUACGAAAGGGCACUCUAAUGAGACUGCCGGUGACAAACCGGAGGAAGGUGGGGAUGACGUCAAGUCCUCAUGGCCCUUAUGGGUAGGGCUUCACACGUCAUACAAUGGUACAUACAGAGCGCCGCCAACCCGCGAGGGGGAGCUAAUCGCAGAAAGUGUAUCGUAGUCCGGAUUGUAGUCUGCAACUCGACUGCAUGAAGUUGGAAUCGCUAGUAAUCGCGGAUCAGCAUGUCGCGGUGAAUACGUUCCCGGGUCU
rnacentral:rRNA from 1 species